rnacentral:rRNA from 1 species
UAAUACGGAGGGUCCAAGCGUUAUCCGGAAUCAUUGGGUUUAAAGGGUUCGCAGGCGGUUUAAUAAGUCAGUGGUGAAAUCUCGAGGCUCAACCUCGAAACUGCCAUUGAUACUGUUAGACUUGAAUACAGUUGGAGUAGGCGGAAUGUGUAGUGUAGCGGUGAAAUGCUUAGAUAUUACACAGAACACCGAUAGCGAAGGCAGCUUACUAAACUGUGAUUGACGCUCAUGAACGAAAGCGUGGGGAGCGAACAGGAUUAGAUACCCUGGUAGUCCACGCCGUAAACUAUGAUUACUCGAUAUUGGCGAUAUACGGUCAGUGUCUAAGCGAAAGUGAUAAGUAAUCCACCUGGGGAGUACGGUCGCAAGAUUG